rnacentral:tRNA from 1 species
AUUUAAAUAGUUUAAUUUAAAAUUUUGAUUUGUGGAAUCAAUGAUGUGAUAAUUCACUUUAAAUA